UCUCCUGACCUGAUGAUCCACCCGCCUCAGCCUCCCAAAAUGUUGGGAUUACAGGUUUGAGCCACCGUGCCCAGCCUCAGCUAUCACUUUUAAACAGAUUUUUGGUGAAUUCAUCUUUCUCCAACUUGUUACAUAAAUACAGGCCCUGAUCUGAAAUCUAAUGUAAGCUUUUCUCUGUGAUAUUGACAGUUCCUCUUUUGUGUUGCCAGAAGGAAAAGUGGGUUUGCCCAAGCAGUAUCAGGUCCUUCCACAGAAAGCGGCUUACAGUACUUCGGGCUCCAACUUGAAUUCUCUUAAACAAGGAAAUAUCCUAGCUCAACAUCGUAAGAACUCUGCGAAUGAGGAGGCUCUGGGUUGGCUGAUUCAGCAGCUCAGUUAACUCACUAAGGACUCGUAUUUUCCCAUCUUCACGCUGACAUCUUUAAUGAGGACACUGAGGCACAGGAAGUCAAGAAACCUGCACAAAGCCAUGCAACAACCAGCCGGACAAUCAGGCCCUAGGGAAGGAGGCCACCUGGACAGCACCAUGGCGACACAGAGGGCACCAGAUAUGGGAAAGUUUCUCUCUGAGACCAUGUUUGCUUCUGUUUCUCAAGCCAAGUUAAUUCUCUCCUAGAACAAUGCCAGUUAGAAAUGGGGGAAGCUACUGAAAUACCUUUGGUGGCUUGUCUUGCAUCGAUAUUAUUUUCUCCCACUGAGGAGUUAGAGGGUUUCUGGUUAUGAGCUAUGUAAAUUCUUUGGCUCAUUCUUUUUUUUCCAUCCUUCCCUCCAUGGUCCAUCAGGAAAAUCAUGGUUAAAUGAGUGAGUAAAAGCUUAUGAUUUGCCCGUCCA